UUAUGCACCCUCUGCUUCUUCCUCCACCCGCACCACGCCGACACUCCGCCUCCACGCGUAGCACCAAAUCCACCGCCUCGUGCUCUUGCUCCGCCUCCACUUUUAUGGAGCACCAAAGCCACCACGCGAGGGCCCACCAUCCUCACGGAGACGGAGCUCAACGGGAGCGACGACAGCCUCCCUGUCGCCUCCUCCACUAGGAGCGACGGCAGCCUCCACCAAGAUCUGCGUGGGGAGGCUGAUGUUCUCGACGGGCAGGGGCACUCGCGGACGUGCUCCUUCUCCUCAUUUGCCACCUCUGUCGAGAGCCGCGUGACUGUCGCCCUCGAGAGCGCGGCUGCAGCCCAUCCAUGGUGUGAGCCUUGCGACGACAUCACCAAGUCGGCGAGUGUGGGAUCCACACCUCCAGUGAGCAGUGUCUCCCCUCCCCCGUAGUUUGACAAGACACCAUGGACUCCCCCGUCACAGUCCUGGUGGGCCGGCGGAUGAGGCAGCUAGCCCAAGGCGAGCUGGACGAUGUGUGCACGCCGAGCGACAACGACAGCGGUUGCUCGCUCAGGUCAACCACCACGCGUGCAGGCCACCAUGGUGUCCGUCGCGGCCGUUGAAUCUGCAGAUCGGCGGGAUACAACGUGGUGGGGAGGAGGAGCAGCUGUGGCGGGGAGAGAUUGCCGCUGUGAACACAAACCGCAAAAAAUCCAUCCACAUCAACGUUGUUGGAAUUGAAGUUGGCCAUGAGACAAAAGCACAUCCACGGGCCAUGGAGAAAUUUUCCAGACACUAAACCAGGAGAAUUAUAACUCAUUUUGUCUAAACUUCUCUGUUUUAUGUUCACAAGCUUGGAUGCUAAAUUGUAUACUAUAUAAUUGUUUGUACAUGACUUUGCAACUUUCCUAACCGGACUUUGAUAUUUACAAUAUUCGAAAACA